rnacentral:rRNA from 1 species
GACGAACGCUGGCGGCGUGCCUAAUACAUGCAAGUCGAGCGAAGUUUUUCUGGUGCUUGCACCGGAAAAACUUAGCGGCGAACGGGUGAGUAACACGUAAAGAACCUGCCUCAUAGACUGGGACAACUAUUGGAAACGAUAGCUAAUACCGGAUAAUGCAUUAACUGAAUGGUUGAAGGUUAAAAGUUGGUUUUGCUUAAACUAUGGGUUGGCCUUGCGGUGCAUUAGCUAGUUGGUGGGGUAAAGGCCUACCAAGGCGACGAUGCAUAGCCGACCUGAGAGGGUGAUCGGCCACACUGGGACUGAGACACGGCCCAGACUCCUACGGGAGGCAGCAGUAGGGAAUCUUCCGCAAUGGGCGAAAGCCUGACGGAGCAACGCCGCGUGAGUGAAGAAGGAUUUCGGUUCGUAAAGCUCUGUUGUUAGGGAAGAAUGAUUGUGUAGUAACUAUACACAGUAGAGACGGUACCUAACCAGAAAGCCACGGCUAACUACGUG